AAUGACGCUGGCGGAUGCUUACACACUGCAAGUUUAACGGCCAGCACGGACUUCGGUCUGGUGGCGAGUGGCGAACGGGUGAGUAAUACACUCGGAACGUGCCCACGUCGUGCGGGGAUAACCGUAGCGAAAGCUACAGCUAAUACCGCAUACGAUCUAAGUGAUGAAAGCGGGGGAUCCGCAAGACCUCGCGCGAUUGGAGCGGCCGAUGCGCAGAUUAGGUAGUUGGUAGGGUAAAGGCCUACCAAGCCGACGAUCUGUAGCUGGUCUGAGAGUGACGACCACCCACACUGGGACUGAGACACCGGCCCAGACAUCCUACGGGAGUGCAGCAGUGGGGAAUUUUUGGACAAUGGGCGAAAAGCCUGAUCCAGACAUUCCUGCGUGCAGGAUGAAGGCCCUCGGCGUUGUAAACUGCUUUUGUACGGAACGAAACAGGUCCUGGAUUCAUACCUGGGGACUCAUGACGAGUACCCGUCAAAGAAGUACAGCACCCGGCCUAACUUACCGAUGCCCAGCAGCCGGCACGAGUCACAUACGUACUGGUUGCCAAAGCGUCUCAAUCGGGAAUUAAACU
rnacentral:rRNA from 1 species